rnacentral:tRNA from 1 species
GGGCGAUAGCUCACUGGUUAAGAGCACUGGCUGUUUUAAAUCCAGAGGACCUGGGUUUGAUUCCCAGCACCCA